rnacentral:rRNA from 1 species
UACGUAGGGCGCAAGCGUUGUCCGGAAUUAUUGGGCGUAAAGAGCUCGUAGGCGGCUUGUCACGUCGGGUGUGAAAGCCCGGGGCUUAACCCCGGGUCUGCAUUCGAUACGGGCUAGCUAGAGUGUGGUAGGGGAGAUCGGAAUUCCUGGUGUAGCGGUGAAAUGCGCAGAUAUCAGGAGGAACACCGGUGGCGAAGGCGGGUCUCUGGGCAACAACUGACGCUGAGGCGCGACAGCGUGGGGAGCAAACAGG